UUAAGUUCAGCGGGUAGUCCUACCUGAUUUGAGGUCAGAUGACAUGAAGUCUUACUUGUCUGAAGACGAUUGGAAGCGGUUGCACGCCAUGGGCUCUGGGAAAACGGCACUACAGUCACAGAAGUGUUCCUUAUCACACCGUUUGCGUAGAGGACCAGGCAGCGGACCAGCUAGAUGCAUUUAGGGAUGAGCCACCAUCU
rnacentral:misc_RNA from 1 species